ACAAAAUAAAAGAUAAAUAUAACAGGAUCUAGAAUUCAUCCUUGGCGCCAGAAAGUCAACUGGGAGACGCCACCUAGAUCGAAUCGAACUCCUUGAUACACGGCUCCACUUGAACCACAUGUUCUUCUCCUGUGAGGGUGUGAGACAGCAAGGGUGAGCUCACACAUGUUCAUCACUCAACAAUUUGUGGGGAAUAAUGUGCAUGAACUCACCAAAGGUGAGAGUUCAUAUGAAGUGUAAGGCAAAUCAAUGUAAUAAAGGCUGAAGCUGAGCAUUGCUUUUAAGUUGGUCAAAAUUUUAUUAGCAAUUACUAAGUGUAAGUAAAUACCAAACCAUAAUAAUAAUAAAUAAAAGUAAUAAUAAAAUAAUCUCAGAUGCAAUGAAAUGACAAAUUGAGUUUAAUUCCAUAAGUUAAUCAUGUGAGUGUCCGAGCCGCUCAUGACCGUGAGCACGGCUAGUAUACCAGUUUUAUACUCUGCAGAGGUUGCACAUCUUUACCCACAAGUCGUGUUACCCAUUUGCCACGGAGUUGAUCAGACCCCAUACACCUCUACCAAGGAAGCGAGGCAGGGUACCACUGCGACGAUUUUUUUUCGCGGGGAUCCCCACGAGCUCUUGCAGGGAUAUCUCUUCCCCAUCUUCGUUCUCCAUGGGAACAAAUCCUAGUCGGGGAUCCCCAUCCCCGCUUAAAUGAUAAUUAGGAUGUACUUUAUAUGUUAUUAAUGCAAAACAAUGUCACUUAUACACAUUGUCAGAUGUAAGAAAUCAGUAUGUGUACAUCAAAAUAAACACAUUUGUACAAUUAAUGAUCUUCUGACAAGGUAAUUGCUUAUUUUUAUAAUUUAUUAUUACAUAAAAACGUCAUUACAUGUAAGUUUAACGAGUCCCCGCGGAGAACGGGAUUCACGUCCCCAUUCCCGUUUACCCGUCGGAGGAGAAUUUGUUUAUGUUUACAUCCCCAUGGGGGAAUAAAUUUCCCCAUCAUCCCCCCCUAAUAGAAGAAUUCCCCACGAAAAAUCGAGGAUUGUGUCUCCAUUGGCAUCUCUAAGAUGGACCGAUAUACUGUACAACAUCGAAAAGGGACAAUGAUAUUUGAUAAAAGACGAUCUCUAUUGGAGAUUGUUUUUCUUCUCUGAGCCUUAUAAUUUAAGAUAGAACCUCAUUUAAGACAUUUGUUUGAGAUGCUGUUUUCUUUUAGAAAACUCAAGUCACCACCCAUUAAUAUGAAAAAAAGACCAUCUUAGUAGCAAACAACAAUGGACACGAUGACGAUGGCGGUGCAAAAUACUUUACUUCUACCUAUCAUAUUAAUUACUAUACAAACUCAAAAAUAGAGUUUGAUGGGGUGCGGAAUGAAUAUCGGGAACAAUAACUUUCUCGUUUCGAAUAUUGACCGACUUGGUAAAAUUCUGGACUAUACCCAAGAGUUCACUAAAAGACUGCACUCAUGUAAAGGACUAAAGGAGUACGGUCUACUCCAUCUGUCUCUUUUAACUGUUGUUCUGUUUCUGAGAAAUGAAACAUCCUUACCUUUAUUCAAAUAAUCAAAUAUGUAUUAAAAAUGUUAAUAGUUAUGACUUACUAUUAGUGUUAUUUGAUAGAUUGUUGAAUCUAUUAUUUUAUAAUAAACUUAAUUAGAGAUAUAAAUGUUACUGAUAUUAAUUCUCUAUAAAAUCUAGUUAGAUUUAAUAAAACAAUCAGUAUAAAUACGGUAGCGACCUUUGAAAAGAGGAAGGGAGUAAUAGUAAAAGUGUUCACAGUAACUGUUGACACCUUUUUGGGGCGCCAAUCACUCAACACGAACUAGCGGCGGUGCUCCCUGUACAGGGGCGGACGGUCCGCGGCCAGGGGUCGGAUGGUCCACGGCUUGGCGCGAGGCUAGGGUUUCCUGCCUGACGGCCGGACGGUCCGCGCGUACGCAGGGGCGGCGGAAGAUCGCCGGUGGCGCCUAGAUCUCGCUCCCGGGAGGGACCCCGUCGGGGAGGAGAGAUCCUAGGUGAUGUCUAGGCUCGGGCAGACCGAGGAGAAUUUAGGGAUUGAGAGGCUAACCUAGAACUAGACUAGAACUACUCCUAAUUGUACAUGAAAUAAACGCGAGAUAGAAGUGUUAUUGAUUCGAUUGAUAAUUACAAAUCGACCGUAUACCUCUCUAUUUAUAGAGGAGGGGGCUGGACCCUUUACAAACUAAUCUACCGAGCUAAUUUCGCGAAUCUAGCUAACAACCGUAGCACAAAACUCGGAACCCUAAUCUGCUCUACGCACGUGCGGACCGUCCGGCCUCAGGGCCGGACCGUCCGCCGCUCAUUUUGGAGCUCAACAUAUGCCCCCUGCCUUUUGGUGGAGCUGAGCGAACCAAAAGCAACUAACUCGAUGUAAUCACAUCGGUUUUCUUAGGCAUCUUGCCACUUACUAGGAUGGUACGCAGUGGCCUUGAUCUCGAUGGUUGACUCAACGGACGUGACCCCUUUAGCAUUGAUCGAACUGUCAGUCCCAACACCGCCGAGCGUCAUACUGGUCCUGACCAAUUCGUCACCUUGCUAAUUUUCUGAGUGCUCUGGCAUAGCUCCGUAGUCGACCAGGUCUUCUCGCAGGUCGUCUUCCUCCAUGGGUGUUGGUACGUUGUUGGAGGUGUCUUGGUGUAGUGCAGAUGGUUCGGCCUCAGGGGUUGGAUGGUCCGCGCCCUGUGCGGAUGAUCUGGCCUUUAUGGUCAGACUGUCUACCAUAUCUGCAUAGAGCUGCACAGUUGUGGUUUUAUUUUCCGUCUUUGUGGCCGUUUGAUUUUUUUCAACGGCCUUUGGUCUCCAUCUCUUUUGUGGUGGCAGAUACUGCGGAUGCGUGUUAUUGAAUAUUUUUCCUGCCUCCUUUUCCUUGAUCUCCUUUGCUCUUAGGCACUGCAAUUUUCGCUUUUGCGAUCGUGUCGGCAUGGAGUAUUUUGGAUUGAUUGUUUUGUUGACAGUCGUAUUUUCUUUUUGUUUGUGCUGGCCGAUUCAUCAAAAAUCAUCGACCCUUUGUCAUCUUCCUGUAUAAUGACAUAUGUUGUUCCUAUUUUGAUGAAGUCUCCUUUUGUUGUCCUACUGGAGGCUAUAGCUGUAUGUCCCCCUGUCGGAUUAAUCGGUCUUUGCGUCUGAGUGGUCCGACAAUCUUGUUGGGCCCGUGCUCGCGAACCAGAUUGAGGGGCUUUCAAUCAGUCUUGUACUGGAGGUGUCAACCUGUCAAAAACAGAUGAUUGAGGUGCCCCCCAGGCGGGGUAUUGUGGUAUCCCGAAUGGAUAUGGAGGUGCGCCCCACAUCUGAUUCGGGAUAUAUGGUGGCAGUGGUAUGUAUGUAUAAUGACAUAACAUGGGUGUAUGUGGAGGUGGAAGUGUCCACGCAUGUGCGUUAGGCCUUAAUUGAACAUUAUGACCUCAUGUCCUUUCCGAUUGGCAAGGUGGUCCAAUCGGCCUAACCUGCUGCUGCUCCUGGGUGGGUAAGCGAGGUCGCUUUGGUGGCCGGUCACUGGGGCCGGCCUUCUUUUUCACAUAUUUAGACAAUAAUUGAUCGAAGGUCGGGCUUGAUUUGACCAACCGACUAGCUGCCUUGAACAUGUUAGUUUUCCAUGUACCUAUUUCUGGUUGUCGUGGUUUGAAGGUACAUGGUCGCCGUGGCUCCUUGGCGUUGCCGGAUCGUCUAUUGGAAUGACCCGGACUGUCUCGCGAGGUCCCGGACUGUCCGCGUCUGUGUACCGGACCAUCCACGAUGCGCAGAACAGGUUCCCGCGUUCGGUCACCUGCUUGCGAUUGCCCCCAGCGUUUGUGAUGGUAACCUUCAGAGUCUCCCCUCCAUCAGGAGUCUUCUCGGCAACCACCUUCCUGCAAGAAAUUUUAUUAUUUCCAUCGGCCUUUCGUGCGUUGCCGAUGAUGACUUCCUUGCCUUCACCCUUAUCGGUCGCGCCGGGCCAAAUUAGGACUUUCUUGGUCGAUCACAUUCAUUGGGAAGGGCUCCGUGUUCUCCUGAAAUUUCAAUCGUCCCUCAUUAAUGGCCGAUUGGAUUUGUCGUCGAAACACAUUACAAUCAUUAGUGGCAUGUGAAAAUGAGUUGUGCCACUUGCAAUAUGCGCGAUGUCUUAGUUCAUCGGCGGGUGGAACAAUAUAAUCUAUCUUAAUGUUGCCAUUUUUUAGUAAUUCGUCGAAUAUCUUAUCGCAUUUGCCAACAUUGAAUGUAAACUUAACCUCCUCUUGCCGUUUCUUUUUGAACCAGCUGCAAGGAGGAAUAAGCCGAAGAUUUGGCUUGCUCGGGCCAACUAUUUCGGCAGUGUAAACUUCCUUUGGUUCAACGUCCAAACUACUUUGAUUGUGUUCUACUACAUGGACAUUAUGAUGAACCGUUUUGACUAGUUCUUUGCUUCGGCUUACACAAGCCAAAGCUCUCUAAUGUAAUUGUGCUAGCGUAAAGAACUGGAUGCCCUCUAAUUUCUCUUUUAAAUAAUAGCGCAAUCCAUCAAAGGCUAUUCUCGCCAGUUGUUUAUCUGUUAAAUGAAUUUGAAAACAUCGGUUUCUCGUAUCCCGGAAUCUCCGGAUGUAAUCAUUAACCGAUUCAUCAUUUUCUUGUCGUAGGGCCAUUAAGUCUACUAAAUCUAGCUCGUAAUCGCCAUAGAAGAAAUGUUCAUGAAAUUUUUGUUCCAAGUCUCCCCAUGACAAAAUGGAAUUAGGGGGAGCGUGGCAUACCAUGUGAAUGUAGUCCCUGUUAAAGAUAAUGAAAAUAAACGCACACGGAAUGCUUCGGUGUCAACCAAUUCUCCUCAUUGUGCUAAGAACUGGUCUAUGUGCUCACACGUGCUCUUUCCUUGGUCACCCGAAAACUUUGUGAAUUCGAGUAUUCUGGUCCCCUAUGGGUAUGGGAGACGGUCAAACUGGCUAUUAUAAGGUCUCCGAUAUGAAUGCCCUCCGGGGACUAUACUAACUCCGAGCUUAUCUCGGAACGCCCCAGCUAUUUCCUCUCCUAAUACAUCGAUGGCAGCCGGUGGGAGACCACCGGCUCUUUGGUCCAAUAUGGGUGAGUUUGUUUGGAUGUUGGUAUAUUGUUUUCCUCCCCAUUGGUUUGGGUUUUGCGGCACAUUAAUACAUGCCCUAUGAGGCUCAUAGGACUGGCCAUUCCUUUCUGGCCUUCUGGGGGGCGGAAAGUACUCACUCUCACGGUUUUGGUAGAUUAUAUUAUGGUGCUGGUGUGUCGUAUGGUGAGAUGGUGAGUCUAGCUGGGACGGAUACGGAGUUGGAUAUCCAUCCUUCUCAAAAAAAAACUAUGUGCCAGACCGUCCGGUUAAAUACGCGGACCGUCUGACAUUAUAUUCGGACUGUCUGGCGUCAUAUGCGGACGGUCCGAAUGGGUUAUCUAGGGUUCGCACGGUAUGUGGCGGCUUGGGUGCAGGCCUCGGUAAUUCGCUUCUAAAAAUAGGAUCGGUCGCCGCUGGCCCGGACGGUCCGCGCUCACGUGCGGACGGUCCGAAUGGGUUAUCUAGGGUUCGCACGGUAUGUGGCGGCUUGGGUGCAGGCCUCGGUAAUUCGCUCCUAAAAAUAGGAUCGGUCGCCGCUGGCCCAGACGGUCCGCGCUCACGUGCGGACGGUCCGGACAUGCGUAGAUCGGCAAAUUUAUCGCCGAUGUGCAUGGGAGGCUGUUGUUGCCCAAGGUACAUGUCUAUCGACAUCCAUUAAAGGAGUUGUGACUGGUCGUGACAACCUGUAGCCGAUGAAUUACGUGUGUAUUCCCUCAAUUCAACCUCGUGCGAAGGAAGAUUCGCAAUAGUAGACUUAUCAAGCGCACGUACUAGCCUUUUAUGAUCAUUUUGUAUAUCCCCUACGAUACGUUGCAUCUGCUCUCGCUGUUCGUCUAUGUAAGCUUUAAGAGAUUGGAGUUCAUUGGUGCUACUUACAUUGGGGGUAUUUGUAGUAGGUCGGAGCGAAGCCAGAUCUGUCGUCCGUUGUCGAACGACUUUGUUGUUCCUGUCCACCUUGAAGUCGGCCAGGAAUUUUGCCUUUGCUUCCUGGAUCAGCUGCUCCUGGCGCUCCAAGAAUAGGAGCUGUUCUUCAGCCGGCAAGGUUUCCCAUGUUGGCUUGAUGAUAUUGCCGGUGGAAACUUCAGAGCUAUCCUUUGAAUCAGCCAUUGAGGGCCGAUCUCGAUAGGUAUAUAGGAAAUCGUCCCCACCGGAGUCGCCAAAAAGUAUGUUGACACCUUUUUGGGGCUCCAAUCACUCAACACGAACCAGCGGCGGUGCUCUCUACACAGGGCCGGACGGUCAGUGGCCAGGGGCCGGACGGUCCGCGGCCUGGCGCGAGGCUAGGGUUUCCUACCUGACGGCCGGACGGUCCGCGCCCUGAGGCCGGACGGUCCGCGCGUGCGUAGGGGCGGCGGGAGAUCGUCGACGGCGCCUGGAUCUCGCUCCCGGGAGGGACCUCGUCGGGGAGGAGAGAUCCUAGGUGAUGUCUAGGCUCGAGCAGACCGACCUAGACUCCUCUAAUCGACGUAGAGUCGAAGAGAAGCGGAGAAUUUGGGAUUGAGAGGCUAACCUAGAACUAGACUAGAACUACUCCUAAUUGUACAGGAAAUAAACGCGAGAUAGAAGUGUUAUUGAUUCGAUUGAUGAUUACAAAUUGGUCGUAUACCUCUCUAUUUAUAGAGGAGGAGGGCUGGACCCUUUACAAACUAAUCUACCGAGCUAAUUUCGCGAAUCUAGCUAACAAUCAUAGCACAAAACUCAACUCUAAUCUGCUCUGCGCACGCGCGGACCAUUCGGGCCACAGGCAUGGACCUCCGGACCGCGCCGGACCGUCCGCCGCUAAUUUUGGAGCUCAACAGUAACAUCUAGAAAAUGGUAACAGUAAUUAUAGCGAGUGUUCCAUUAGUUUUUUUUUUAUUUACAUCUUUCAUCGGAGUAGUUCGUAUGAACACACGUGUAUUCGUACUACAUGCACCCUACACACCACACGCGGACAGGAAAGACCUACAGCUACAGGUACACGCAGACGAGAAUACCUUUUUCCUUUUUCUGCGUGCCUCGAGAUCUUCGCCUUCCUCUACCCUCCGUUUGACCAAUCCAGUGCCCCCUCGCCGGCCUUCCUUCCUCGGGCGGGGCGGAUAGUUGCAUUGGCAUAGUAAAGAAACGGGUCGUAUAAAAAACACUUUCUUCAUUUCUUUUGUUUAUCGUCGUUUAGUUAAAAAAAACUAGCGGAUGAUAAAUAUUCGAGAAAGUAGAUAGUACAUAAAUUAAUAUAAUAAUGUAUAAUUAUAUUUUAUUACUUAUUUUAAGGAUAUGUUCAUUAACAAAAAUUGUUUAUAUAGAGUUGUUCUUUAGCUUUAGAUAAUUAUACCAAAAAUAGGUCUUAACAAAGACAUAAUUCUCCUAUACCCUAUAGAAAUAUGCAACUUAACUCCUGUAAAAUUAGAUAACUAGGUUUGUAAAAGUCGAGUGGCAUAGUUAUCAUGCACCCGUCCACCCCCCCCCCCCCCCCCCACGGUAUUCUUUAGGCCGGACUCUCUCGAGUAGGUUCCACAGAGGACCUAAAUUUUUGGAAAGAUUUCUAUCCUCUAAGUAUUUAUUAGUGUUGUCUAAACGGCACUUUAUAUUUAGAGAACGUUGUUGGGUUCUCUAUAUAUAAAUUUUCUCUCUCAUCAUAUCUAGUCUCUACCCAUUUCAAUACUUUAAAUAACAGAUUCAGCAAAAACUAAAAUAUGUACUAUGUAUGCGAGAGUAUGAUAAAUACGUACGUAUAAGAAUUAAAAAUAAAUAUGUCUCUAAUAUAGGUAUAUUUACGUAUAGAGAACAUUGUUGCAUAGGAAGAAGAUAUAUAUGGUAAAGUUUUUUAGAAUAGACGGUAAAAGACGGAUAUACAUGAUAGAUAUAGAUACAAUUAAACUUAAGGUCUCAGGAGUAGUACACAGAUGAGAAGGGUACGUACAGCCAAUGAGAGUGAGACAGCGUUCAUGAGCCGUCAAGCGUGCGACGUGACUUGGCUGGCGGGCUAGCUGCACAAACCAAAGGCUACCUUUUUUCUUUGGUGCGCGUACGAGUACACUACCACUUUGUACGUGGUCGUCGUCAAGUACGGCGGGGAGGGAGGCUGACCACCCACGAGCGGAGUGGAGUGACCGACCAGCGGGCAGGACCGCAGCGGCAGUGCGCGCGAGAACCCACGCGCGCAGGCCAUGGAAGAUGGUGGCCGGCCGGCGCGUUCGGCGACACACCGCCCGGUCUCCGAGUGCAACGCCCUCCCUUUCUGCACGCCUUUGUCCCCGG
rnacentral:lncRNA from 1 species